GCUGCCCUUCCUACGGGAGGCAGCAGUAGGGAAUAUUGCACAAUGGGCGAAAGCCUGAUGCAGCAACGCCGCGUGCGCGAAGAAGGUCUUCGGAUCGUAAAGCGCUUUUCUGGGAGAUGAGAAAGGACAGUAUCCCAGGAAUAAGUCUCGGCUAACUACGUGCCAGCAGCCGCGGUAAUAAGG
rnacentral:rRNA from 2 species